UCCUCUUCAUUUCCCUCAGCAUUCUGGCAGUCCUCGACCCUUCUGACGAAUUUAUUUUCAGCUCUACUAAACCCUGUUCUAAGUAUCUCAAUCGUUUGUUGGCGCUAACAGCCAUGUCUUUCCAUUUCUCAAUCAGCUUUUGGUUGGCUUCUUGAAUUUCAUGGUGCUCACUUUCACAUUCUUGAAUCUUUUUGCACAAUUGGUUGUACUUGACCUGUGCUUCAGCCUUUCAUCGAUGAUCCUAUGACCUCGAGCAAACCCGGGUUGACCCAGACCAUUAUGAUUAUCUUCUAACCAGCUGGGAUAGUAUGGAGCAUAACCAGCAUGGUACCUGUCUGGCUAAAUAGUGUCCCUUCCCAUGAUGAUUUUACAGUGCCACAUGUGUUGAGCUUGGCACUUGUGAGGGCUAUCAUCAUCUUGAAACUCGGCCCGGAAGUGACUCAUCUUGUCAAACCUUGGUACAACCUGCUUCCUGCCAGCUUGUCUCAUAAUUCGAAGAGGGACAUAAGGAUAAGUUCCUCCCAAACCAAUAAGUAUUAGAAACGGUGCAUCCCGAGAUCGGGCAAUAAACUCUUCAG
rnacentral:lncRNA from 1 species